rnacentral:tRNA from 1 species
AAGAAAGUGGCAGAGCGGCGAUGUGGUUGGCUUGAAACCAGCCUACGGGGGUUCGAUUCCCUCCUUUCUUG